GACAGAGGUGCCGAGCGUUAGGCGGAAUCACUGGGCUUAAAGCGUGUGUAGGCGGCCCGUUAAGUACCUUGUGAAAUCCCCCGGCUCAACCGGGGAACUGCUGGGUAUACUGGCGGGCUUGGGUGACCCAGGGGCGAGCGGAACAGACGGUGGAGCGGUGAAAUGCGUAGAUAUCGUCUGGAACGCCAAAGGUGAAAACAGCUCGCUGGGGGUCAACCGACGCUGAGACACGAAAGCCAGGGGAGCGAACGGG
rnacentral:rRNA from 1 species